GACCCUACCUCGAACAACAACAACAGAAAAGCAAACUCAGAAGCUAAGCAGAAUUGGGCCUGGUUACUAUUUGGAUGGGAGACUGCCUGAGAGUACUGGGUGCUGGGGGCU
rnacentral:rRNA from 1 species